CUUGCAUGUCUACAUUGAUAAUAAACUUGGAUAAUCUUACACAAGACACACAUACAUAUAGUGGCUUUACUCCACUUGCUUAGACCCUAGACCACAUCAUUGUCUUAAGACUUACAUCAGCUACUCUACUAUGUUGGAACUCCCAACUCCUUAAUUCACUCUACAUAACAUCUUUGAUUCUAUAACACAACACUAAUUAACUAAACAUACUUGGGCCUAAUUCAUCUGCAGCCCAUUUUAACAAAACACAAAGCCCAACAUCUCUUUUGUUGACUUUGUUCCUUGCUCUUCUUUUACGCUUGAAGCUUCUUCUCUAUUCUUCUCUUCUUCUCAUAAAGCUUUCCUUAUUGCAGGAUUUAAUCUAGGAUUCACAAUUCCAACACUCCCCUAAGAAUCCUUAGAUUAAAUCCCCAAUUCGAUUUUAGGGAAUUCAAUCUCAUUGCUUCUUCUUCUCUUGGUGAUUCGCCUCUUCUCUUGUGCGAAUCCCUUUCACGAUCUUUGGCACAGCUCACUGGUGAAUUGGUGUUAAGUCUCGGUCUCUUGUCUUCCUCUUGGUGAUUUUCUUCUUAUCACACAAAGGUAACACUUUUGACUCUUCAUCACUUCGAUUCAACUACUCCUUCUUCUCUUUUCUUCAAUUGACCUCUCUUGUCAAUUGUUUCUGGUUUUCAGACAUUGGAGCUCUUGGGAUUUCUCUUUCCCUCAAGCAGUCUCCAUGUCUUCUCCGCAUCUUCUCGGUGAGCCUCCCUCACGUCUCUUCCGGUUGUCGCUGCAACCUUCUUCAGCUUCCUCUCUCUCAGGUAAGCUUCUCUUCUCCUCUUCUUGGUGUCCACCUUUGAACACCUCCUUCUUUACUUUGAUUCUUAGAACCAUCACUUUAGCUUUAGCUUCAGAAUGUUUGACUCGAACCAUCACUCGACUUUCUCUAACCGUAGUCUAUUUGGCUUCUCCUUGAGUCAUCACCUUAGCCUUAGCCGGUUGGCUCUGUAGAGAACACGAAACUGAACGGUUGCUUGUAACAGAAACAAACACAGAAAUUGAUAGCCAAGUUCACGGCUUAACCGCUAUGUCUGAGGAGAGAUCUCUUGCUCCCAAAGCUUCACUAUAUCAAAGAGAUUACAAACACCACUUGACUUGUGAUGUUGUCUUUGGUUUCAGGUACAAUCUCAAGAAGAACAAAGAUCAAACACAAAGAACAAAGAAGGAGAAAGCUUCUUGAAGAAUAAACUCUCGUUUCUUCUCUUUCUCUCUAGAACUCUCUUUGUGUCUUGUCUCACACCUACAUCCACA
rnacentral:misc_RNA from 1 species